UGAUUGAAAAAAUAUUCUAAGGAACACAA
rnacentral:piRNA from 1 species